CCGCGUGGGUGAAGAAGGCCUUCGGGUUGUAAAGCCCUUUUGUUGGGAAAGAAAAGCAGCUGGCUAAUACCCGGUUGUUCUGACGGUACCCAAAGAAUAAGCACCGGCUAACUUCGUGCCAGCAGCCGCGGUAAUACGAAGGGUGCAAGCGUUACUCGGAAUUACUGGGCGUAAAGCGUGCGUAGGUGGUUGUUUAAGUCUGUUGUGAAAGCCCUGGGCUCAACCUGGGAAUUGCAGUGGAUACUGGGCGACUAGAGUGUGGUAGAGGGUAGUGGAAUUCCCGGUGUAGCAGUGAAAUGCGUAGAGAUCGGGAGGAACAUCCAUGGCGAAGGCAGCUACCUGGACCAACACUGACACUGAGGCACGAAAGCGUGGGGAGCAAACAGGAUUAGAUACCCUGGUAGUCCACGCCCUAAACGAUGCGAACUGGAUGUUGGGUGCAAUUUGGCACGCAGUAUCGAAGCUAACGCGUUAAGUUCGCCGCCUGGGGAGUACGGUCGCAAGACUGAAACUCAAAGG
rnacentral:rRNA from 1 species